UGGCUUUUUAAUUAAAAGAUAGAAKGAAAGGACAAACGACUUAUCAAUUUUCUAAUAUUUAAAUAAUCAAUUUAAUAUAAAUGUAAAAAAGCAUUUAUCAAAAAGAAAGACAACAAGACCCUAUAGAACUUUAACUAAUAAGUUUAGCUGGGGUAGCAUAAAAAUAAACUUUUAUAAUCCUAUACAAAUACAGACCUAAUUUAUUUUAAAAUUUAAAACAAGUUACCUUAGGGAUAACAGCGCUAUUUUCUUACAAAGAACCUAUAAAAAAGAAAGAUUACGACCUCGAUGUUGAAUUAAUUUAACUCCAAUAAGCAAAAACAUUAAGAGUAAGUCUGUUCGACUUUUAAAAAAUUACAUGAUUUGAGUUCAGACCGGUGAAAGCCAGGUCAGAUUCUAUCUUCUUUAUUUUAAUUAUAGUACGAAAGGACCAAAUUAUAUAUCAGA
rnacentral:rRNA from 1 species